UCUUUGUACAGUACUCACACCGCGUGCCCUACCACCUCGUGGACACCAUUUCGGUCUCGGGAUGCUUGCACCUGUCCUUCAUCAACUUCCAGGUCAGGAAAGGCUCCCACCUGUCCCAGGGGCAGAGGACAGUGACCAGCUGGGCUCAGCUGGGCCUGUGCCCACUCAGCAAGGUACCAGCAAGCCUCUGCCCCAGGUGGCUUCGGAGGUGCCCUGGUUUGCUGACUCGGUGUCUGUCUGCCUGUUAUCUGUCUCUCUGUCCCUUUUGGCAUUGGUUUCUCUGUGAUGAACAAUAUACUUUGGUGAAAAUGCCAGAGCUGCUCCUUGUCUGCAACUGUCUAUUGCAUGACCAGGGAGUUCUAAAAGGGCUUGUGCAAGGGAACCAAAUGGAAUCCAAAUCAGAGGGCACAACCUGGCUCCUAGGGUCCAGCCUGGGUCUGUUUGACCUCUAUAUUAAAAACAAAAAUCAAACCAAACACACAAA
rnacentral:lncRNA from 1 species